rnacentral:misc_RNA from 1 species
AGAUGCUAAUCACGUUUUCGGUUUGGCUUGCGGAAUAGGCCCAAGUGGUUUUUAAUAAAAUUUAUUAAGGAGAGUUGACAUUUUGGCCUCUUUCACCUAUUAAAAUUGGCGUAAAUGUGUCGUUAGCCGCAAUAACAUUUAGUAGAAGACUCUCUGUUCAAUGGACGACCUCUCGGAUGACGAUGACCUGGAAUUCAACAAGUUUGGUGACGACGACGAUCUCUCGUUCAAAAGGAAACGCCCGACUGAGGCGUCCUGGGACAGUGACGACGAGCUGUUACAGGAAGACCAUGCCCCAGCCAAAAAGACAAGAGGCCAUUCCUUAAGUGAUAUUGAUGAAGACGCUUUACUGGGAGACAGCGAUGACGAGCUGCAUGAGCAAACAUAUGAGGGAGGGGUGGAGAGUCAGACCAGUGAACAGACCGGUGAACAGAAUAGUGAGCAGACAAAAACGGCAGUCAACUACGAGGGUGGCGUUGCUAGCCUCACAAGCGGACAGAAAGACGACCUCUCAAUUAACGACUCUGGAAUGCUGGACAAUACCCAGGGUGACGAAUGGGGUGACGCACCAGGCGAGACAGAGGGUGACGUAGCCGAGGAGUACGCAGGAGAGGAGGAGUACCAAGGAGAGGGUGGAGAAAACUAUGACGAAGUAGGCGGGGACUAUGGGGAAGUGGGCGGAGACUAUGAAGAAGGUGGUGAAGAGACUUAUGAAGGUGACGUGGGCGGGGACUAUGAAGAAGGCGGAGACACCUAUGUAGAGGGCGGUGACACCUAUGAAGAGGCCGAAUAUUCCGAAGAGCCUGUUCUGGACGCAACCACGGCCGAAGAAGAUGAUGAUGCAGCGCUAUUGGAGGAUGCCAUUGAGCUGGGGCCAGGGAUGGACGACGUCUUAGACAUUGAGGAUCUGGAUGAUAGCCUCAUUGAGGAAGUCGCUGAAGACAAACCAGUGACGAGCAGGGGUGCCGGACCCACAACCUCUACCCCAAGCGCCCCUGCCAGAGAAAAGUCUACAAAAGAUGUCAAAGAAACUGAGAAAGAUUCUUCACAGUCAAAUAGCCAGACUGCGUCCCAGCCACGGCAGGAGGACGAGGAGGAAGGAUCCGACACCAGGGAGGACAUCCCAUCCACCGACGAGGACGAAGAUGAUGAUGAUGACUCCACCAGGGCUAGAUUCAGAUCGGAACGCCAACCGGCCACCGUCAAAGUAGGGGGAGCAUCCAAACGCAAGGACAUCCCAGCGACACUAGAGAUAACGGCAGAAAUCCAGCAGACCGUGGACGAAUUUGCGCGACAGAAGGAGGAGCAACACCACAUGAGGCGUAACCGGGGCCGCGGUGGGCGUGGCUUCCGGGGCAACCGCGGCCACCGGGGCAUCCGAAACCAAGGCCCGCCCCCUCACAUGAUGGGACCGCCUCGUUUCCCUGGCAAUGCCGGCCCCGGUUUUAUGGGGGUGCAGCAACUGCCGCCCGCAAUGGAUAAUUUUCAGCCCAUUGAGGAGGUCGUACGGGGGCCGCCGGCUGGCCACUUCCGAGGGGGGAGGUUUGAUUUUGAGCCCUACCACCCGGGCAAGGAGGAACCGAGCAGGGUGCCGCCCAUAACCAGUCAGGGACCGAACCAGUCCAGUUCCAAUCAGCCAACGCAGGGAGGUCAGAGUUCAGCAGCUACUGCCAGCCAGGCUCAGCCAGUGCAGCCUGUGAGCCAGUCUGGUACCCCGGCCAGCUCUCAGUCUCAGGCACCUAAAAGCAAGACCAUUCUCAUUAACCCGCAUUUUAAAGGUCAGGUGCAAGUCCCAUCUCAGCAAGGAGGACCUCCCCCACCCGUCCACCAUGCCCCCCACUCAGGACCCCCUCCCCAGUCCCAAUACCAGCCCCCGGCCAGCUCCCAGAGCCGCCCCUACCAGCCCUCUGAAUCCUACACCCCAGCAGGUAGCCGCCCCUACCCCCCUCAGUCACAGCAUCCACCCCCUCAGUCCCAGCAUCCACCCCCUCAUCAGCCACCCUUUCAGGGUGGUCCCCCACCGCCCCAGGGGCACGGCCAGACACAUCCCCCGACGCACAUGCACACGCAGCCGUCACCACAUCCCCAGGGGCCGCCUCCAACAGACCAGCGUCCACCAGGCAGCUAUGGGGGCCCACAUGAGCAGCAGCAUCAGCCUUACAGACCCCAGCCUUCCGAGCCGUGGACCCCGCCUGUCAGUCAGCACCAAGCCCCAGGCGGCGGUUGGUCCCAGCCUGGUAGACCUGAUUCCGUGUCAGUGACGUGGAGCCAUCAACACCAAGGCCCACCAAGACCAGAGUUCCGUGGCCACCCACCACACCAGCAGCAUCCACCCAGCUUCAACGGCCCCAGAUCCCCCCAUGAGCGCUUCCCCCCUCCCCACCAGCACCAACAGGGCCCCAGGCAGCCGCAACCCAGGGCCAUGCAGCCCAACCAGAUGCGACCACCUGGGGAACCACAGCAUAUGAGAGGGCCACCCCCGCACCAACACAGGCCAGGGUACCGACAACAAGGACCACCCAAUAUCAGGCAAAGCGGCCCCGGCCAGAGGUUCCAGACACCAAGCCAGCGACAACCAUCACCCCGGCAACCAUCGCCGAGGCAACCAUCGCCAAGGCAACCAUCGCCGAGGCAGCCAUCACCCCGGCAACCAUCACCCCAGCAACAGCAACCCACAGCCGGCCAGCCAUCACCCCAGAACCCUGUCCACAAGGGCAGAAUCCUUCCCUCGCCAAAACGGCUGAUAGAAGAGGCUACCAAGAAAGGCUCCAAAGCGGCAGUUACCAAGCCACCCAAAGGCGAGAUUGAUGAAGAUGCAGAGACCAAGAAACUGCGCAUCCAGCUGGAGGAGCAGAAGAAGCUACGUGAGAUGAUACUACAGAGGAAGGAAGCCAGACGACAGCAGCUGGCUGCAUCUAAACAAGCUGAGCUCAAGAAACGUAUGGCUAGCCAGAAACAGAACUCACAACAGGACAAUACUACCACCAAGGAGACAAUGCCACCACAGCAACCUCCACAACAACAGCAGCAGAAGCCACAGCAGCGACAGCCGCAGGUGCCAGGUCCGAGGCAGCCCUCCCCACAGCAGCAGCAACAGCAGCAGCGACCAGGUCAGGCUGGUAACCGCAGCAUUUCACCAGCCUCCGCAAACAGGACCCUCACUACCGCAGCCCAGCAGACCCCCAAGCCAAACCCCCAGAUGCAAGGGGCACCGCAGCAGUGGGCAGGCGGGCCCCGUGCCCAGAGGCCCAUGUCACAACCCAGGCCACAAGGGGUGGGGCGGGGAGUGCCGCAACCCCGGCAGCCAGGGCCCCAGGGACAGCAGUUUCAGCAACAAACCUGGCAACAACAGCAAAAUGUCAAGGUACUUGUAGACACCGCACCCCAGCCCAUCCCGACGCUAGGGGGAGGGGGCAACGUGAUACGGCCCCAGCGGCCAGUAGGAGUUGUCGGCGCAGUCAACAGGCCUGGCGUGACCCAGGUCAGAGGUCAACGACCCCAGGGAUCUUCCAAUAAUAUGGGGCGUGGCAGAGGGCGUGGUCAGCCAGUCAGGGCACAGUUUCAGCAGCAACAGCAGCAGCAGCAGCAGAGGUUCCAAGCACCACAGCAGCAGCAGGUCCGACCGCAGUCAGCAGGCCCAUGGGAGGCGGGGCCUCGGCCCCAAUCUCCUAGUGUGAGGGGGCGGGGCAGAGGCCGGGCGGGACCACAGGCCAUGGGGCAAAGAAUGCAAGGUCCCCAGGGGCCACACCCACAGGGCCAACACCUGCAGGGACCACUCCUACGAGGGCCACGCCCACAAGGGCAACGCCCACAAGGGCCUCGACCACAAGGGCCUCGCCCACAAGGGCCUCGCCCACAGGUACUACACUCGCAGGGGCCACGCCCGCAGGGGCCACGCCCGCAGGGGCCACACCCGCAGGGGCCACGCCAACAAGGUCCACGCCCACAAGUUCAACCACAAAAGAGGUCAGUCAAAGAUCGCAUUGGGAUCCCCCAACAAGGAAACGCUCAAACCCAGCAGGUAUCUCCGGGUCCUCAGAGGCGAGUCAUCCAGCAGAACCAGCCCGGGGGACUAACCCAAAAGUCUCCGCAGAAACGCACCCUUCAAGCCGCCCCAAACCAGAAUCCUGGUCUCCGAACUGAACAACCCGCUGCUAAAAAAAGGACGGUGGUCCAGCAGUUGACUCCGCAGCAGCAGCAGUUGCUGCAGCAACAGCAGCAGAGGGCAGCACAGGCUGCAGGCCAGCUGGCCAGGGGGCAGCCUCCCCCGCCGCAGAGGGUGGUCAAGCAGGCUUCCCUGGAAGGCCCCCAGGGGCCGACGGGGAUUCUGAUAGACGGGCUCUCGGCGUCGACAAACAAGAACAGCUUGGUGAAGAUGCUGCAGUCGUGUGGACCUAUUAAGAAUGUUGAAAUCCUGCCCAACCAGAGGAGAGCAGUGGCCAAGUUUUGCCGUCCAGACGACGCCCAGACCUUCCAGACAAAGUUCCACAGGCACAUGGUGGACCUGGCUCACAUCAGCGUUACCCUGGUCCCUGACUAAACUUCUUGAAGUCCUCCCUUGCCGGAUAGACACUUUCCACCAGGGUGCAUUAUCAUCUAGAACAACGUGUAGCAGGCAGAGCAUUGUUCUGGGGUGCUCCAUCUACAAGAACAAACAACGUAGAUCGACCCUCUACAGGUAGUAGGAGUAAAAACUGCACAAAGCAUGUUCAUCUAGAGCACCCAGGCGUCGAUUACUCAAAUGGUAUAUGUACAUUUUCCUUCAUUUCCCCGACCUGAAUAUGCUGUCAUUGUUUCUUUGUUUUUACAUCAUGCAUACCUAUUGCUCCGUUUUUAUGAGAAUUAACCAUGCAGUAAAGUUUUAGCCUUGCCUGGUUUUGGCCUGAUAAGACGUUGCUAUUCUGUGAUUGAAUGUAAAAAGCAAUUACUGAUUUGGUUAUUAAUUAUGGCACUAUGAUUAUCAAGUUUCUGUGUGCUGCCGAGAUUGUAUUUUGAAAUCUUGAGCACGUACAGAAACGGGUAUGUGUGCUAAACUUUGUAGAAAACUAUGUUGCAUUAGUUAUUGUAUCUGGAAGUUUUUGUAAUAUACAUGUAUGUGAGCACUUGGAACGACAGGAUUGCGCUGGAUGCUACUCUGCAAAUAAGGAAAGUGGACAACGUCAUUGUAUCACGGAAGCUGAAUUCUCUGGCUACGUCUUUGAACACGUUGUGACUGAAAAUAUCGUAAGGCAUGGAAGCAUGUGUGAGGUGGCACGUAUGCGAAGGGUCUAGUACCCACAUCACCUGGUUGAGAUCAGGCUGUCUGGAGCAUAUCAGACUGGUACCGAUGUAGACUGUUGGCUGUAAAGCCUAAAACCUGCUGGACAUACCCAGUACCCACUAAGUGUGUACCCAGUACCCAACUAGGUGCAUACCCAGUACCCACUACAUGCAUACCCAGUACCCACUAAGUGUGUACCCAGUACCCAACUAGGUGUAUACCCAGUACCCGCUAGGUGCAUACCCAGUACCCACUAAGUGUGUACCCAGUACCCAACUAGUUGCAUACACAGUACCCACUAAGUGUGUACCCAGUACCCAACUAGGUGCAUACCUAGUACCCGCUAUGUGCAUACCCAGUACCCACUAGUGCUGUUUGAACAUUGGAACUCUAGUGCAAGUUUAGUUGGCCCUUUGUGCCCUACACUUCUUCGAGUGUGGUUUCCGCUUUUGGACUACAAGUGUAGUGUUGGACGGCAGUUGGAGCAAGGCAAGAUCUGGCUGGAGCAGAGCAAGGCAAAGCAAGAACAAGCAAGCAAGACCGCAAGAUUGCAGGGAUGCCAUGUCAUCAGGCCGUUGGUCAGAGAAAAGUAGCUUUAAAGUGCAACAGUAGAGUUGGGGCGUGAAUUUGUUAUCUUUGUACUUUGGUAACAGUUUAACGUGGCCGGUAUGUAGCCUAUAAUGUGUGUGGUUGUAGAUUAAACAUUGUUCACAGGCCACUGUUGUAGCGUAUUGGUAGCCAGUUUGUGGGCCAUUAACAGAAGCCAGCUUACAAGCCACACUACAAGCCGACAUGCCUGUGAAAUUGUCGCCUGACUGCUACACAGCCCACAGGCCAACGACAAGCCAGCUUGCAAGCCAAGAGUCAAGCCAGUGGCGAAGACUACCAGCCAGCCAGCCAGCCAGCCAGCCAGCCAGCCAGCCAGCAAGCCAGCAUACAAGCCAGCCAGCCAUUCUGCAAGCCACUUUGUUGGCCAGUUUGGAAGCCAACACUGUUACUUCCAGAGCCAGCACUCAGAGGCAGACACCAGGCCAACUUUUAGUCCCCAGUACAAGCCAGCUUUUCAGCCAACUAUCAGAUGUGCACAUGCAAGUUGUAAAACCAGCCACCCUGUACACGAACCACAUGGCCGCAUUUGACACCGCAAAGGCCAUCCACACACAGCAAGGGUACUGGGUAAAAAAAAAACACUUCAGGCGAUACCAACUGUUAUGUGAAAAACUCCAAAAGACCUCUACCUUUCAACUGAUGACUGAUGACAAAAGGACAAUCUUCAUGAUGGAGCCAAUAGUGUUACACAUGUACAACAACUCUCAAAUUAAGUGGCCAUUUCAAUCUUAAAUAUCUUGAAAAACCAAGAAGCCAACACCAAUUUAAAAAAAACAAACCUGAAACCAAUAAUGUAGCUGAAAUAUUUUUUACAAGCUGAUCAAAUGGUAUGAGUUGAUUUAAGAUUGGUGGGGCCACUGAAAUCUGAAUUCAUUGUUUUGUAUUAUCAUUAUGAGAUAGGAAAAUGCAGGAAAAGUUUGCCAGGGUUCCCACAGUCACGGAAAUGCCUAGGGAA